UACGGAAGGCAGCAGUGGGGAAUAUUGCACAAUGGGCGCAAGCCUGAUGCAGCCAUGCCGCGUGUAUGAAGAAGGCCUUCGGGUUGUAAAGUACUUUCAGUCGUGAGGAAGGUGUUAAGGUUAAUAACCUUAGCAAUUGACGUUAGCGACAGAAGAAGCACCGGCUAACUCCGUGCCAGCAGCCGCGGUAAUACGGAGGGUGCGAGCGUUAAUCGGAAUUACUGGGCGUAAAGGGCACGCAGGCGGUUAAUUAAGUUGGAUGUGAAAUCCCCGGGCUUAACCUGGGAAUGGCAUUCAAGACUGGUUAGCUAGAGUCUUGUAGAGGGGGUUAGAAUUCCAUGUGUAGCGGUGAAAUGCGUAGAGAUGUGGAGGAAUACCGGUGGCGAAGGCGGCCCCUGGACAAAGACUGACGCUCAUGUGCGAAAGCGUGGGGAGCAAACAGGGAUUAGAUACC
rnacentral:rRNA from 1 species